rnacentral:rRNA from 1 species
AGAACGAACGCUGGCGGCAUGCCUAACACAUGCAAGUCGAACGCUUCCGGGGCUUCGGUCGCGGAGGAGUGGCGCACGGGUGAGUAGCGCGUGGGAACCUGCCCUGUUGUGGGGGAUAACCGAGGGAAACUUCGGCUAAUACCGCAUACGCCCCGGGACUUGGUCUUCGGAUUAGGUCUGGGGGGAAAGAUUGAUCGCAGCAGGAGGGGCCCGCGUCGGAUUAGCUGGUUGGUGGGGUAACGGCUCACCAAGGCGAUGAUCCGUAGCUGGUCUGAGAGGAUGAUCAGCCACACUGGGACUGAGACACGGCCCAGACUCCUACGGGAGGCAGCAGUGGGGAAUAUUGGACAAUGGGGGCAACCCUGAUCCAGCAAUGCCGCGUGAGUGAUGAAGGCCUUAGGGUUGUAAAGCUCUUUCGCCCGCGACGAUGAUGACGGUAGCGGGAGAAGAGCCCGGCUAACUUCGCGCCAGCACGGCCGCGGU